GACGAACGCUGGCGGCGUGCUUAACACAUGCAAGUCGAACGAAGAAGCGCCGUCCUUGUUGGUGGGUGUGGAGGAGUGGCGAACUGGGGAGCAACACGAGAGUAACCUGCCCCCUCUUGCUGGAUAACCGCAUGAAAGUGUGGCUAAUACGGGAUAUUCUGGGUCGGUCGCAUGAUGGGUCUGGGACGGUUUUUGUGUCGGUGGGGGAUGGGUCCGCGGCGUAUUAGCUUGUUGGUGGGGUGAUGGCGUACCAAGGCGGCGAUGGGUAGCCGGCCUGAGAGGAGGGUGGCCGGCACCAGAGGGGCGGAGCGGCGGAGCAGACUACGACGGGAGGCAGUAGUGGGGAAUAUGGCACAGUGGGAGGAAGGAUGGAGCAGCGACGCGGCGGGAGGGAUGGAGGCCUGCGGGUAGUGAACCGCUUUCGGGAGUGAAGCAAUGCUGCCUCGUCUGUGGGUGGGUUGACGGUAGCUGGAGAAGAAGCGCCGGCUAACUACGUG
rnacentral:rRNA from 1 species